rnacentral:hammerhead_ribozyme from 1 species
GAACCACUGAGGAGUCCCAAAACAGGACGAAACAACCGUCCAGUUC